rnacentral:rRNA from 1 species
UACGUAGGGUGCAAGCGUUUGUCCGGAAUUAUUGGGCGUAAAGAGCUCGUAGGCGGUUUGUCGCGUCGAAUGUGAAAACCCGGGGGCUCAACCCCCGGGCCUGCAUUCGAUACGGGCAGACUAGAGUUCGGUAGGGGAGUCUGGAAUUCCUGGUGUAGCGGUGAAAUGCGCAGAUAUCAGGAGGAACACCGGUGGCGAAGGCGGUGGUCUGGGCCGGAACUGACGCUGAGGAGCGAAAGCGUGGGUAGCAAACAGG